AGUGAACGCUGGCGGUAGGCCUAACACAUGCAAGUCGAACGGCAGCACAGUAAGAGCUUGCUCUUACGGGUGGCGAGUGGCGGACGGGUGAGGAAUACAUCGGAAUCUACUUUUUCGUGGGGGAUAAUGUAGGGAAACUUACGCUAAUACCGCAUACGACCUACGGGUGAAAGCAGGGGAUCUUCGGACCUUGCGCGAUUGAAUGAGCCGAUGUCGGAUUAGCUAGUUGGCGGGGUAAAGGCCCACCAAGGCGACGAUCCGUAGCUGGUCUGAGAGGAUGAUCAGCCACCCUGGAACUGAGACACGGUCCAGACUCCUACGGGAGGCGGCAGUGGGGAAUAUUGGACAAUGGGCGCAAGCCUGAUCCAGCCAUACCGCGUGGGUGAAGAAGGCCUUCGGGUUGUAAAGCCCUUUUGUUGGGAAAGAAAAGCAGCAGGUUAAUACCCCGCUGUUCUGACGGUACCCAAAGAAUAAGCACCGGCUAACUUCGUG
rnacentral:rRNA from 1 species